ensembl:lncRNA
UGUGUGUGUGUGUGUGUGUACUGUGUGUGUGUGUGUGUGUGUACUGUGUGUGUGUGUGUGUGUGUGUGUGUGUGUGUGUGUGUACUGUGUGUGUGUGUGUACUGUGUGUGUGUGUGUACUGUGUGUGUGUGUGUGUGUGUGUGUGUGUACUGUGUGUGUGUGUGCACCUUUGUGUGUCAUGACAUGUCCUAUUCUUCCAUCUGUAUUUCUGUCCUCAGUCUGUCAUUAAUGAUCACAAAUGUGUGUCUGUGUGUCAGUGCAGGUUUGGAAGAAGAUGAGAAAAAAGAACAGUCCUUGGUCUGGGCAGCGUUGAAAGGUGCUGGUAUAUUUGACAUUGGCGUUACAAAAACAGUUCACACAAAUUGAUGCUGUAGUGUCAUCGAUUCAAACAGUGAAGACAUGAACAAUGAAAAACACUGCAUGCUCAACUUAGAACGAGGGACAUUCCCAAACGUCUCUUUUCUGAAUGGAUUCUUUAAUAACAUUUUAUAAGCAAUAACAUAUUCAUUUUAUAGAAAAUAAACAUCUCUAGGAAAUACUAUACACAAUUAUAUUAGUACAUCACAUCUUACAUUUAAACAGCGUCAAAUACUUAUAUACACCGUUAAAUAAUGAGAGCAUCAUAAUCAAGAAUCAGAAGAAGAAGAGGUUUGUGGUCUUGUCUGUACUGUACACCCUAAUACUGUAUGUGUCCACUGAUAUGAAGUACUGAAGUACUGUACACUACACCCUAAAGUAGUACUGAAGUACUGUCCACUACACCCUAAAGUAGUACUGAAGUACUGUACACCACACCCUAAAGAGGCUGUCUGUGUGUGUGAGAAUGCUGCAGUAAGGGGAACAGCCUACGCUACUGUGAGUGCCACGUACAGAGAAAGGAAUGAGAGAGACACACUUGAUGUGGAGUCAGAAAACUGAAACAGUCCGAAUACGGACACCGUACAACAGUCACGGUUCCCCAUUUAAUGGGGAGGACUGUGUUACUGUACGGUGUCCAUAUUAUGACAUAUUUGAGUCUCUGUACGGUUGAUUCAGCUCUAUGGUGCUGAGAACUCAAGUCGUGUAGGACUAAGAAUCUAUUGGAGUCGAAUACUUGUUCAUUUUUAUGGAGACAGCAGCCUUUGGUGAUGGAGAGGAUGGACAGAGAUAUUGAUGAAGAACUGUGAUGAGAUGACAUGACGUGUGAGAUGAUGCCGGCCGGGCCCUAAGCCCUGACCUUUAACCUUUAUGGUGAUGAUGUGGCGUCUACUGUACAUCAUGUUGUAUGAGCACACGUCUGACCUUCGACUCGGUGACCUCCAGAGUUUUGCCCCCCAAUAUCCAAAUUAGCACACUACCCACUUAGAAUGAAGCAAUGUAUAAGGCAUGCAUUCUAAAGUAGUACGCUAGUGUGAAUAUUGAAAGCUUUAUUUUUAUAAAAAUGUUUAAUUGAACACAAAGCGGGACAGAUACCAACGCUGACUCAAUGGUGUCGUAUAGCCGCAAUAUGCACAUCAAAAUACAUACCGGAAGAAGAGCGUUAUAUUCAGUCAUUUGUUCUUUCUGUCAAUAUCAGAAUCAUAUUUAGAAUCUGUUAAAACACGCAAUGUACAUUUUUAUAACACUUAAGCGCACAUUGAGAUACAUCCAGGGGAGGGGCGGCUUCUUUUGACGCAUGACAUCUUGAAUUGGAACACGCUCGUUCCCUUCCUUGUACAAGCACACACACACACAGUCCAUGUCACACACACACAGUUGAUGUCAUACACACACCGCGACCUGGAACUCGGACAGCAUAGCCGGAGGGGGCCUAUUCUGGCCAAUCGCAAUCCACCAGGUGUCCAAAAAUGAUAGCGACCGUUCCGGAGGCAGAACAGUGCAGCAUGAAUUUAAAACAGCUCCCUGUCUCUCCCCCUCUCUCUCCCCCUCUCUCUCUGGAGGGGUGGUCUCUAAGUAACCAUGGCUGCCAGGUGUCUAGACUCCAGACACAGACAGACAGGGCUGUGAAAGACUCUCUCAAAACACCGCAGUCCGUCUGUCCGUGAAGGAGACUGUCUGUCAGACAGACAAUGCAGUCCCUCUCUCUGUCUCUCUGUCUCUCUGUCUGGUUAUCAGGGGUGGCUGAGAUAAAGCAGUGCCGUUGCCAGGGGUUACGGGGGUUGCUCUGAGGGACCUGCUGUCUUGUGUCUGUAUUGCUGCCAUUGGUGGUGCCUCAGAGGAUCCCCAGCCGUCCCCAUUGGCUGAUGCGUCUGUCCGUCAUGACGUCUCAUCAUGACUCAUCAUCAUCAGGUUUGGGUGGAGGGAUGUCCUAUCUGUCUGUCUCUCUGUCUUACUGCAUAGGUGAUGCUCACUGGGGCUGGGUAGUGCUCUAUUUUACAAAGCCUGGAAGACAAAGACAAAUUAUGCAUGAGGGCGAUUGCUGUUCACGAAACACGUGCACAAAAAUAAUGUUAUAUAUGAAAAAAAUGAAUAUUGUGCUUUUGUGAGUGUAUGGGUGAUCUGUGUGUGUUGUGUCAUACUGUCUGCAGGUUCAGUAGGUCUCUCUCUGGACAUAUGUACUCAUGCCUGCUGAAAUAGAACGCACCAGCAUUCACAGCACUGCAAUGUGUGUGUGUUAUUCUCCAUGGCCAGUGCAGAAUGGGACCUUUAAUUGCCAUGGUCACUGCAAACAUGAAAGCUGCAGUGUCUGUGUGCCUGAGUCUCUGCUCUGAGCUAACAUGAAAGCUGCAAUGUGUGUGCUUGCGUGCUGGUGUGUGUGUGUGGUUCUGCACUACUGUAGACAUGAAAGCUAGCUGCAGUGUGCGGUAGUGGAGGAUGGAGGAUGCAGCUGGCCAGUGAACUGGCUCCUGUGAAUGACAAGGUGGGAACACCUACUAACUACAUUGGUGUGGUGUUUCCCCCCUUAUCCUCGGCAGUCUCUCUCUCUCUCUCUCUCUCUCUCUCUCUCUGUCUCUCUCUCUCUCUCUCUCUCUCUCUCUCUCUCUCUCUCUCUUUCUAUUCUCUCUCUCUCUCUCUCUCUCUCUUGCUGAAUCUCUCUCUCUCUCUCUCUCUCUCUCUCUCUCUCUCUCUCUCUCUCUCUCUCUAUUCCUCUCUCUGUCUCUCUCUCUCUCUCUCUCUCUCUCUCUCUCUCUCUCUCUCUCUAUUCCUCUCUCUCUCUCUCUCUCUCUCUUCUAUCUCUCUCUCUCUCUCUCUCUCUCUAUCUC